GACGAACGCUGGCGGCGUGCUUAACACAUGCAAGUCGAACGGAAAGGCCCUGCUUUUGUGGGGUGCUCGAGUGGCGAACGGGUGAGUAACACGUGAGUAACCUGCCCUUGACUUUGGGCUAACGUCAGGAAACUGGGGCUCAUACCGGAUAGGAGCUCCUCCUGCAUGGUGGGGGUUGGAAAGGUUCGGCGGUUGGGGAUGGCCUGCUGGUUUAUCAGCUUGUUGGUGGGGUAGUGGCUUACCAAGGCUUUGACGGGUGGCCGGCCUGAGGGGGUGACCGGCCACAUUGGGCUGGGGAUCGGGCCCAGAUUCCUACGGGAGGAAGCAGUGGGGAAUAUUGCAAAAGGGGCGGAAGCCUGAUGCAGCAACGCGGCGUGCGGGAUGACGGCCUUCGGGUUGUAACCCGCUUCCGCCGGUGACGAGGCGGGAGUGACGGUAAUGGGUAAAGAAGCACCGGCUAACUACGUG
rnacentral:rRNA from 1 species